CCUACGGGAGGCUGCAGUGGGGGAUAUUGCACAAUGGGGGAAACCCUGAUGCAGCGACGUCGCGUGUGGGAAGACGGUCCUCUGGAUUGUAAACCACUGUCCCCAGGGACGAAGAUGACGGUACCUGGGGAGGAAGCUCCGGCUAACUACGUGCCAGCAGCCGCGGUAAUACGUAGGGAGCGAGCGUUGUCCGGAAUUACGGGGUGAAAAGGGAGCGUAGGCGGGACUGCAAGUUGGGUGUCAAAUCUACCGGCUCAACCGGUAGCCGCACUCAAAACUGCAGUUCUUGAGUGAAGUAGAGGCAGGCGGAAUUCCUAGUGUAGCGGUGAAAUGCGUAGAUAUUAGGAGGAACACCAGUGGCGAAGGCGGCCUGCUGGGCUUUUACUGACGCUGAGGCUCGAAAGUGUGGGGAGCAAACAGGAUUAGAUACCCCAGUAGUC
rnacentral:rRNA from 1 species